GGUGGGCAGUUAAGCAGGGCUUAGCCUCUUGCCUCAUUCCUUGUUCUCAGGACCUGGGGAAAUCAGUCCUCUCAAGUGCAUGCUCCCCACCUUGAGCCUGCUAACGAUUGUUGAGUGCAGUCCUCACAGAAAACGGUACUUGUGCAGGAAAACAGUUUGGUUAUGGGAGUAUAGGAUGACUCACUGACAAAUGGAACCUGU
rnacentral:lncRNA from 1 species